rnacentral:snRNA from 1 species
GUUCUUGCUUCGGCAGCACAUAUAUUGAAAUUGGAAUGAUGAAGAGAAGAUUAGCUGGUCUCUGCACAAGGAUAACACGAAAAAUCCUGAAAUAUUCUAUGCAUUA